rnacentral:rRNA from 1 species
AACGAACGCUGGCGGCAUGCCUAACACAUGCAAGUCGAACGAGACCUUCGGGUCUAGUGGCGCACGGGUGCGUAACGCGUGGGAACCUGCCCUUAGGUUCGGAAUAACUCCCCGAAAGGGGUGCUAAUACCGGAUAAUGUCUUCGGACCAAAGAUUUAUCGCCUUUGGAUGGGCCCGCGUUGGAUUAGCUAGUUGGUAGGGUAAAAGCCUACCAAGGCGACGAUCCAUAGCUGGUCUGAGAGGAUGAUCAGCCACACUGGGACUAAGACACGGCCCAGACUCCUACGGGAGGCAGCAGUGGGGAAUAUUGGACAAUGGGCGAAAGCCUAAUCCAGCAAUGCCGCGUGAGUGAUGAAGGCCUUAGGGUUGUAAAGCUCUUUUACCCGGGAUGAUAAUGACAGUACCGGGAAAAUAAGCGCCGGCUAACUCCGUG